rnacentral:rRNA from 1 species
CUUGUAGGCGGCCUGUCAAGUCGCGUGUGAAAUCCCCUGGCUUAACCAGGGAAGUGCGCGCGAAACUGGCGGGCUUGAGUGCCGGAGAGGGUCGCGGAAUUCCCGGUGUAGAGGUGAAAUUCGUAGAUAUCGGGAGGAACACCAGUGGCGAAGGCGGCGACCUGGACGGACACUGACGCUGAGACGCGAAAGCGUGGGGAGCAAACA